GCCUGAGUGGCCGAGUGGUUCUAGGCGCUACAGUCUGGAACCGCGCGGUCGCAGGUUCGAAUCCUGCCUCGGGCA